rnacentral:rRNA from 1 species
GCUUAACACAUGCAAGUACGAACGAGAGGACAAGAGAAGCUUGCUUCUUUUGGGAAUCGAGUGGCAAACGGGUGAGUAACACGUAAACAACCUGCCUUCAGGAUGGGGACAACAGACGGAAACGACUGCUAAUACCGAAUACGCUUGGGAGACCGCAUGAUCUACCAAGGAAAGGGUGGCCUCUACCUGUAAGCUAUCGCCUGAAGAGGGGUUUGCGUCUGAUUAGGCAGUUGGUGAGGUAACGGCCCACCAAACCUACGAUCAGUAGCCGGUCUGAGAGGAUGAACGGCCACACUGGAACUGAGACACGGUCCAGACUCCUACGGGAGGCAGCAGUGGGGAAUCUUCCGCAAUGGGCGAAAGCCUGACGGAGCAACGCCGCGUGAGUGAUGACGGCCUUCGGGUUGUAAAGCUCUGUGAUCGGGGACGAACGGUCCGUAAGCUAAUACCUUAUGGAAGUGACGGUACCCGAAUAGCAAGCCACGGCUAACUACGUG